rnacentral:rRNA from 1 species
UGAAGAAGGCCUUCGGGUUGUAAAGUACUUUCAGCGAGGAGGAAAGGGAGUAGGUUAAUAACCUGCUUCUGUGACGUUACUCGCAGAAGAAGGACCGGCUAACUCCGUGCCAGCAGCCGCGGUAAUACGGAGGGUCCGAGCGUUAAUCGGAAUUACUGGGCGUAAAGCGUACGCAGGCGGUUUGUUAAGCGAGAUGUNAAAGCCCCGGGCUCAACCUGGGAACUGCAUUUCGAACUGACAAACUAGAGUUUUGUAGAGGGUGGUAGAAUUUCAGGUGUAGCGGUGAAAUGCGUAGAGAUCUGAAGGAAUACCAGUGGCGAAGGCGGCCACCUGGACAAUAACUGACGCUCAUGUACGAAAGCGUGGGGAGCAAACGGGAUUAGAUACCCCGGUAGUCCACGCCGUAAACGAUGUCAACUAGCCGACUGGUGCCUUGAGCACUGGGUGGCGC